UACGUAGGGUGCAAGCGUUGUCCGGAAUUAUUGGGCGUAAAGAGCUCGUAGGCGGUUUGUUGCGUCGGCUGUGAAAUCCCGAGGCUCAACCUCGGGUCUGCAGUCGAUACGAGCAAACUAGAGUGUUGCAGGGGAGACUGGAAUUCCUGGUGUAGCGGUGAAAUGCGCAGAUAUCAGGAAGAACACCGGUGGCGAAAGCGCUCUGCUAGGCCGCAACUGACACUGAGGAGCGAAAGCGUGGGGAGCGAACAGG
rnacentral:rRNA from 1 species